GAUGAACGCUGACAGAAUGCUUAACACAUGCAAGUCAACUUGAAUUUGGGUUUUUUCCCUUAGAUUUGGGUGGCGGACGGGUGAGUAACGCGUAAAGAACUUGCCUCACAGCUAGGGACAACAUUUGGAAACGAAUGCUAAUACCUGAUAUUAUGAUUAUAAGGCAUCUUAGAAUUAUGAAAGCUAUAUGCGCUGUGAGAGAGCUUUGCGUCCCAUUAGCUAGUUGGAGAGGUAACGGCUCACCAAGGCGAUGAUGGGUAGCCGGCCUGAGAGGGUGAACGGCCACAAGGGGAAUGAGACACGGCCCUUACUCCUACGGGAGGCAGCAGUGGGGAAUAUUGGACAAUGGACCAAGAGUCUGAUCCAGCAAUUCUGUGUGCACGAUGACGUUUUUCGGAAUGUAAAGUGCUUUCAGUUGGGAAGAAAAAAAUGACGGUACCAACAGAAGAAGUGACGGCUAAAUACGUG
rnacentral:rRNA from 1 species